rnacentral:misc_RNA from 1 species
GAUUUGUGUGCUUGUUAUAACAAAUAGCUUCGCUAGUUACUCUUUGGCACUCUAAAGGAUUUUAGGACUCCCACUUCGAUACUUUAUUGUCUUAAGCUUUGAACCUAUGAAUCGACAUCCUAAUGGAUACCCUAUGCAUCAUGUUCAGCCAUGAAUCCUUUAUCCAAGAGUGGAAUUGACCAAGAAACUUAUUGAUAGCUUUAAAGUGCCUAUUGGGGUCGGGUGCCCAAAACUCCAUAAAAUCGGCUUCUUUUUGCCAUGAAGUGUGCAUGUAGGGCAAGAUGAAGUCCAAGAGCUUUCCUUUAGCAUGGAAAUCGGUUGAGAAACCAUUUCAUUCCUAGGGUUCAACAAAAUUUCUUGAGGAAACUGAAACUAUCUUUUAAGACUUCUCUCAUAUGCUAAUGGUUCACUUUGCAACUCUUGCACUUACUUGUGCUUCUAGGCUUAUUUUUAGGUCAGGUAUCAAUAGUAGUUUAAUUUGAGUUAAUAAUUGCGUCAUUAUACAUUAAGGAUUUUGGUUCAAUUUGUU